rnacentral:rRNA from 1 species
UACGAAGGGGGCUAGCGUUGUUCGGAUUUACUGGGCGUAAAGCGCACGUAGGCGGAUCGAUCAGUCAGGGGUGAAAUCCCAGAGCUCAACUCUGGAACUGCCUUUGAUACUGUCGAUCUGGAGUAUGGAAGAGGUGAGUGGAAUUCCCGGUGUAGCGGUGAAAUGCGUAGAUAUCUGGAGGAACACCGGUGGCGAAGGCGGCAUCCUGGACCGACAUUGAUGCUGAGGCGCGAAAGCCAGGGGAGCAAACGGG